GCUUGCUGUAGAGGCAGGCGCCGGGUGUGUCGCGGCAGUGCAGCGGCCGCGAAGGGGUGUUUUGCUGUAUGUCAUAUUCCUCGUUUCGCCAGAGCGGGGGUCCCGAGCUUCGGGCGCGGGACGCGGGGGUGCUCCGAGGCUGCGAGUGGAGGCGUGACGUGACGUCCCUGGCAAGAGGCGCGCGGAGUCAGGCCUUACUUAGAACGUGUUCCCGCCGCACAGCUACCAGCGGGCGCGACCGCUACCCACGCAUGGUGCGGUCGAGUAAACGGCACCGCCUGGCGAGCGAGAGACGCAAAGGGACAUAGCCCCCUAGGAGCUGAGCUCUUCGGGGGUAAAGCGUUCUCACGUUGAUGAGACCAGGAGGCGGCGCACGCCUGGCUCCGCGGCCCAGGGGUUGCAGGUGCCCCAGGGUUCGCGGGGCGCAGACGCCGCAGAGGGCGACGCCCUGCCCGGGUCCCGCGCGGACCCGGGGGACGCAGGGUCUGACACGGAGUGCGGAGGGGCCCCAGACACGCAGUCCAUGUCCCUUGAAACCAGAGGCACGCGCGGCCACGCGCUAGGCCUUUCCCUUAAGCCUGUGACCAAGAUCUCCGGGACUCCCAGCGUUGGGACGGGCGCGCUGGCCCACGCCCAAGCGGGAGGAUCGCUUGCGCCCAGGAGAUUGAGACCAGCCUGAGCACCAAAGCGAGACCUCGUCUCUACAAAAAAUAAGACUCAAGAAGACACCCAGGGUGAAUCGCCCGUCUGCAGCCAGCCUCCCGAGCACCGUGGCCGCGUCUGACAACUGACCUCUGUGUCUGGGUGUCCCUGUCCUCAGAGGGACACGGGACCUCAGAAAGGACCACAGCCCGGCGGCAGGCAUGAUGGUGGGAAAGCUAGUUAGGACAGGUGAAUAAACAAACUGGCACAUCCACACUGCGGAACACGGCUCAACCCCCAGGAGGACCCGGCGCGGAGCCCGGCUCAACCCUGAAGAGGAUUUCACUACUGACACACACGACAUCACAGGUGACUCUGGGAGCAAUCAGGUUCAGUGAGAGAAGCCGGACAAAAAAGAGUGCGUACCUUAUGACUCCACUUACAUAAAAUCCUAGAAAAUACAAACACCAGGCAGGCGCGGUGGCUCACCGCUGUAAUCCCCGCACUUCGGGAGGCCGAGGCAGGCACAUCACUUGAAGUCAGGAAUAUGAGACCCGCCUGGCCAACAUGGCAAAACCCCAUCUCUACUAAAAAUACAAAAAUUACCCUGGCGUGGUGGCACACGCCUGUAGUCCCAGCUACUCGGGAGGCUGAGGCAACCUGGGAGGCAGAGAUUUCAGUGAGCUGAGAUCACACCACGGCACUCCAGCCUGGGUGACAGAGACUCCAUCUCAAAAAAUAAAAAUAAAAAACAUAAAUAGCAACAGAGAGCAAAUCAGCAGUCGCUUGGGAAAUAAGGGGUAGGGAUGGGUGAGAGGGAGGGAUUACCAGGUACACGUGCAGCCUGGAUAGUGCUGAGGGCUUCACGACGUAGACGCAUCAGCCUCAUCAAAUUACACACUCUACCUAUGUGCGGUUUGCCUUGUGUCAACUGUGUAUCCAUAAAGCUAUCAACAAAAACUGCCUGCAAACUAUUUUUAACUGACAACUUUUUUUUUUUUUUGGGAUGGAGUCUCGCUCUGUUGCCCAGGCUGGAGUGCACUGGCGCGAUCUUGGCUCACUGCAACCUACGCCUCCUGGGUUCAAGCGAUCCUCCUGCCUCAGCCUCCUGAGUAGCUGGGACUACAGGUGUCCACCACCACGCCCGACUAAUUUUUGUAUUGUUAGUAGAGAUGGAGUUUCACCAUGUUGGUCAGGCUGGUCGCGAACUCCUGACCUCAAGUGAUCCACCGCCUUGGCCUCCAAAAGUGCUGGAAUUAUAGGUAUGAGCCACUGCACCUGGCCAGACAACUGU
rnacentral:lncRNA from 10 species